rnacentral:rRNA from 1 species
AUUGAACGCUGGCGGCAUGCUUUACACAUGCAAGUCGAACGGUAACAGGCCGCAAGGUGCUGACGAGUGGCGAACGGGUGAGUAAUGCAUCGGAACGUGCCCAGUCGUGGGGGAUAACGCAGCGAAAGCUGCGCUAAUACCGCAUACGAUCUAUGGAUGAAAGCGGGGGACCGUAAGGCCUCGCGCGAUUGGAGCGGCCGAUGUCAGAUUAGGUAGUUGGUGGGGUAAAGGCUCACCAAGCCAACGAUCUGUAGCUGGUCUGAGAGGACGACCAGCCACACUGGGACUGAGACACGGCCCAGACUCCUACGGGAGGCAGCAGUGGGGAAUUUUGGACAAUGGGCGCAAGCCUGAUCCAGCAAUGCCGCGUGCAGGAAGAAGGCCUUCGGGUUGUAAACUGCUUUUGUACGGAACGAAACGGUCCUGGUUAAUACCCGGGGCUAAUGACGGUACCGUAAGAAUAAGCACCGGCUAACUACGUGCCAGCAGCAGCCGCGGUAA